CAUGUGGUUUAAUUCGAUGAUACGCGAGGAACCUUACCUGGGCUCAAAUGUAUGUUGACGUAUUUCUGAAAGGGAAUACUUCUUUCGGACAAUAUACAAGGUGCUGCAUGGUUGUCGUCAGCUCGUGCCGUGAGGUGUCGGGUUAAGUCCCAUAACGAGCGCAACCCCUACCUUUAGUUGCCAUCAGGUAAUGCUGGGGACUCUAAAGGAACUGCCUACGCAAGUAGUGAGGAAGCGGGGAUGACGUCAAAUCAGCACGGCCCUUACGUCCAGGGCUACACACGUGCUACAAUGGCCGAUACAGAGGGCAGCUACCUGGUGACAGGAUGCAAAUCUCCAAAGUCGGUCUCAGUUCGGAUCGGAGUCUGCAACCCGACUCCGUGAAGUUGGAUUCGCUAGUAAUCGCGCAUCAGCCAUGGCGCGGUGAAUACGUUCCCGGGCCUU
rnacentral:rRNA from 1 species